rnacentral:pre_miRNA from 1 species
CGGCGAGUUUGGGUCCGGCAGUCACGGAUACGGGACCCCCGGACGCGGCGGUCCCGUAUCCGUGACUGCCGGAUUCGGUGCCUCCGG